AAUCCUAUAGCUAAAAAAUUUACUCUUAGUUUUCAAAAUUUUUAAUCAAUAGUAAAUAAAAGUAAGGAUGUUUUCAAUAAGACAAAAAUUGAUUCAAUUCUUUAAGAAAAUAACAAUAUGCAAAAAAUAUGUUUACAAGAGCUUCACCUAAAAAUGAUUAUGUUGUUUGCUUCAAAUAUAACAAAGUAGGUCACAAAAUUUCGAAAUAUAAUUUUAAAAGAAUUAGCUAAACUUUGAUUAAACAAAUUUGGAUGACAAAAUGAAUCAUAUGCUCUAACUUCUAUGGACCCA
rnacentral:lncRNA from 1 species